GGCAGCAGCUAAGAAUAUUCCGCAAUGGACGAAAGUCUGACGGAGCGACGCCGCGUGGAUGAUGAAGGCCGGAAGGUUGUAAAAUCCUUUAGCAAGUGAGGAAUAAGCAGAGCAGGGAAUGGCUCUGUGGUGACUGUAGCUUGAGAAUAAGCAUCGGCUAAUUACGUGCCAGCAGCCGCGGUAACACGUAAGAUGCUAGCGUUGUUCGGAAUUAUUGGGCGUAAAGGGCAUGUAGGCGGUUAUUCAAGUCUGGUGUGAAAUCUCGGAGCUUAACUCCGAAACUGCAUUGGAAACUAGAUAACUAGAAUUGCUGAGGGGAAGCCGGAAUUCCAGGUGUAGGGGUGAAAUCUGUAGAGAUCUGGAAGAGCACCAAUGGCGAAGGCAGGCUUCUAGCAGAUAAUUGACGCUGAGGUGCGAAGGGACGGGGAGCAGACAGGAUUAGAUACCCUGGUAGUCCGUCCAGUAAACUAUGUACACUAGAUGUCCGGGCAGGAGCUCGGGUGUCGCAGCAAACGCUUUAAGUGUACCGCCUGGGAAGUAUGCCCGCAAGGGUGAAACUCAAAGGAAUUGACGG
rnacentral:rRNA from 1 species